CACCGCCCGUCACACCAUGGGAGUCGAUUGCUCAGAAGUGCCUGAGCCAACCGCAAGGAGGCAGGGCCCCAAGGAGUGAUCGGUAACUGGGGUG
rnacentral:rRNA from 1 species